UGGGGAAUAUUGGACAAUGGGGGCAACCCUGAUCCAGCCAUGCCGCGUGUGUGAAGAAGGCCUUUUGGUUGUAAAGCACUUUAAGCAGGGAGGAGAGGCUAAUGGUUAAUACCCAUUAGAUUAGACGUUACCUGCAGAAUAAGCACCGGCUAACUCUGUGCCAGCAGCCGCGGUAAUACAGAGGGUGCGAGCGUUAAUCGGAAUUACUGGGCGUAAAGCGAGUGUAGGUGGCUCAUUAAGUCACAUGUGAAAUCCCCGGGCUUAACCUGGGAACUGCAUGUGAUACUGGUGGUGCUAGAAUAUGUGAGAGGGAAGUAGAAUUCCAGGUGUAGCGGUGAAAUGCGUAGAGAUCUGGAGGAAUACCGAUGGCGAAGGCAGCUUCCUGGCAUAAUAUUGACACUGAGAUUCGAAAGCGUGGGUAGCAAAACAGGAUUAGAUACCCUGGUAGUCCACGCCGUAAAACGAUGUCUACUAGCCGUUGGGGUCCUUGAGACUUUAGUGGCGCAGUUAAACGCGAUAAGUAGACCGCCUGGGGAGUACGGCCGCAAGGUUAAAAACUC
rnacentral:rRNA from 1 species